AAGUGAUCGGGGGCCCUUAGUCCACCGCACACAUCAAAAGAUCCCCUAAUCAUAAUCAUCUUUUAUGGAAUUGCUCAAAAAUGACGCACGCAAUUCGACUGAUUGAGGAAUUCCUUCCUGAAACAAGUUCCUCUUGUUGGGUAAAUCACAAAAGAAUAAGGAUAAAUAAUAAUUAAAUAUUUGGUUUAAAAAUGCGUAUAUAAUUGCGAUGUUUCAAAAUCUUGGAUAAUAUCAAUAUCUUUAUAUCGUAAAUAAACUCUUGCCUUAUAACAAUGCCAGCUCAAUGAGCCCCUCUGUGUCCACAUCUUUUGCCAAUUAAGGGAGUUUAGAUUUAGAUUAUUUAUCAUAGUUACCUGAAAUUUCCGUUGUCCCCUAUUAAUCGCUGAUUUUUUCUGUUAUCCUUGUUUGUGUUUUUUUUGUGUGACUUCUUCCUACAAAGAAAAAGAAAAGAAUCUGUUAAUGGACAAAACAAAAACCAAAACUUAAUUGUUUUUGAGAAAAGAUCGUAAUCCGAGGGAAACCGCAAGCUGUGAUGGUUUAAGCCAGAUACUUAGGGUGUUUUCGCCUCUUCGAACAAGAAGUGUUGAACAUUUCUUUGCCACUCGGCACCUUUACCUUUCCAUAAUCCCGAUUACUUCCACUUUUUGUAGACAGCUGUUUCAUUUGGUUGUUCAUAUUUGCAAAGACACGAGUCAAAAUCCUCGUAGAAACUCAAUGGGGAGUACUCAAGAGUGAAGUCCACACUUCCCGCGGACAAUCAAUCAAAAGACCAGCAGAUCGAUCAUGUAUGCACUACUAACCUUACACUUUUACGAUUUACUUGUACUGUAAUUCUUAUGAUAGUGGCAUCAACCCAUGACAAUGUUUACCCAGGAUAUUUUGUUUUCACUUUUAUCUAUCAGGCAUGCAAUCGAAAUAUCUUUAUGUGCAUACUUAUGAAGACCACACAUGUCUCGGCGAAUGUGCAGGGAAAAAAGGACGAGUGCGAGGGCCAGGACAACCCACUCUAGACCAGUUCCUACGUUCCUACCUG